ensembl:lncRNA
UAGAACUUUCAUCUAGGCUGAGGAUUUUUAAAUAUGUUAGUACAAGCCCUAGAUGUCAGCUACUAAAAAAGACAACUAUUUUUAUUAGCAGAUGUGAGACAGGCAUGAGGAUGUACAAGUUACUUUGCUUAGCAUCAUGAGCAAAGCUUCAUUGACCUUCAAGGAAAGUGUCUAAAGAUCUAAAUUUAGUUCCAGGGCUUGCUCUACUAAAGCAGUCAUCAUACUGGUAAAAUUCUCAUUCUCAUUCAUCCACAGACCAUAAGCCAGUGUCCCAACUAGGGACUUGAAGAUGAGUCUACAAUGAUGACCAGAGUGGUGCUGAGUGAAUUUCAUUGCUCCUUUCCUAGUCAAGAAGGCUUAAGUAAUAGUGUGAGAAAAUACCUGAAACCCCAAACCCUGGUGGAGAAGACACUGCUGUCAUGGCAACAUUCUAACUUUAGCAUGUUGAAUAUGUCAUCCUACUCUCUCCUGGACUGCAGAGUUUUUGCUGAGAAAUCUGCUGACAGCCAUGUUGGAACUCUCUUGAAUGUGGAGAAGCCUGAGAAACACUGUCUGAGCUAAAGGACCAAGGUCAACAUCAACAGUGGUAAGUCACAUUGAUAGUAUGUACAUUUCAUAUGAUGUGAUGUAAAUAGCUUUUUACUUCUGUGAUCUUUCUGGUAUUGGGUAUAUGGGAACUCUCUGUACUCUCUUGAACAUUUUUCUGUAAACAUAAAACUAUUCUAAAAUAGAAAGUUUAUUUUAAAAAACAUGGCAUUUUGUUGCUCUAGGAAAAGCGAUAUAUAAAAGAAUGUGCCUUAAUGUGUCUCUGUCAUAUGCUUGCAGAAAGAGUAGACUUUGGAACUUGGAAGUGACUCCUAAAAUAGAGUGUUUUUAAAACUAUGGAACAUAACCUCAAUAAGAUUAUUGAGAAUGGCUACUUGGCAAAUAAGGAAACUUUUGCAUCUGAGAUUAUUUAUGAUACAUCACAAUAGCCAUCUUAAAAAUGGAAGCAGAUUCUCAGAGACCUAAGCACAAACAAAUAAUAAAGGAUUGCAAGUGUAAAUCUUAGGCUUCUUUAGGAUGAAGAAAUCUCCUUGAAAAAAGGCCUAUGUUUCAAAGCCUAUCUGUGCAGGAUGAAUGAAAAUCCAUUUGCCCAUGUUAAUGAGCAGAUUUUCACCAAAUACUAAUGAUAAGAGUGAUAUCUCAGAGGAUAGGGUGGCCCAGAGAAUAGUUGAGAUUCCUCGGAAAUAUAGGGCCACAGAUAGCAAAACUGAGCCAUGAUUCAGUGAUCAGGCAGAUGAGGAAUACAGUUUUGCAGCAAAGAGUGUGACUGAAAUAUGUUAGAAUGAAAGAUCUGAGACAGUGCUGACUAAUACCUGGAUGUCCAUGUGAGAAGUAAAAGUCGUUGAAGUUCUAGAAGUAAUCUGAAUUUAAGAACUCAAGGUUUCAAGUUACAGACCUAUCUGUUGCUCUCGCUCACCAGGCAAGAGACAGCAAGUCUUGUAAGCCUUAAUUUUGUCAUCUGACAAGUAGGAGUAAUGAGGGUGCUUACCUCAUAAGGUUGUCAUGAAUAUUAAAUAACAUGGUUUUAAAUGUUUGAAAUAGUGCUGCGUAUAUAUAUGUAAUAAAAGAGGACAGAGAGCUACUAUUAUUAUGAUUAUGUUAUUACUCAUAUUAUUGUAAAGGAUGCCUGUGUGGGGUGAUAGUAUAAGAGGGAAGCACUAAGACAGUGUCUGGCACAAAUUGGGGACACAGUAAGUGUUUGUUUUGGAGUCCUCUUCUCUGAAAUAAUGAUGGUUUGGCCAUGUGAUGUGGCAGAUAGGGCUUUCAGUCAGGUUCAUGUUCAUUGAUGUCUGUUCCUGAUUAUCUGCGUGGUAUUUGGAUAUCCAGUAAAGAGUUCUUCAUAUCGUCUCAGUUUAGAAUUCCUUUGUUCUCUGUGUUAAUAAAUAAGUUCUGCACUAAUUAUCAUAGUUAACCAUUGACUGAAUAUUUAAGCCCACAAUGGAAGCAGUCCAAAUCUGCACUUUGUGCUGUAAUAUAUUCUUUUUCUAUAGCAUCGUCUCUACUGAAAAGCAUUUGGUGGUUACUAUGUACACAUACACAUGGAUGUUGUAUGUGUUUCUAAGUUUUCCAGAUACUGGUUAUUUCAUUCUUUC